ACACCCAUCAAGCCUGGCUUGGUAUUGGGCGACGGGACCUCCCCGCGCCCCGAUUUCGCCGGCUGGACGUACCCCGAUCUCAAGCGCUGUAAUAAGCCUUCGCUGGAGGGACGGGCGGCCACGCCGUUAAACCCAAUCAAUCA
rnacentral:misc_RNA from 1 species